rnacentral:snRNA from 1 species
GGGCUCCAGCAGCAAAUAUACUAAAAUUGGAACGAUAUGGGGAUUAGCAAGGCCCCUGAGCAAGGAUUACACACAAAUUCCUGAAGCAUUCCAUAUUUUA